rnacentral:rRNA from 1 species
UACGGAGGGUGCAAGCGUUAUCCGGAUUCACUGGGUUUAAAGGGUGCGUAGGUGGGUUGUUAAGUCAGUGGUGAAAUCCCCGAGCUUAACUUGGGAACUGCCAUUGAUACUAUCAGUCUUGAAUACCGUGGAGGUCAGCGGAAUAUGUCAUGUAGCGGUGAAAUGCUUAGAUAUGACAUAGAACACCAAUUGCGAAGGCAGCUGGCUACUCGGAUAUUGACACUGAGGCACGAAAGCGUGGGGAUCAAACAGG